rnacentral:rRNA from 1 species
GUGGGGAAUUUUGCACAAUGGAGGAAACUCUGAUGCAGCGACGCCGCGUGAACGAUGAAGGUCUUCGGAUUGUAAAGUUCUGUCCUGGGUGAAGAUAAUGACGGUAGCUCAGGAGGAAGCCCCGGCUAACUACGUGCCAGCAGCCGCGGUAAUACGUAGGGGGCGAGCGUUGUUCGGAAUUAUUGGGCGUAAAGGGUACGUAGGCGGUUUGUUAAGUUUGACGUGAAAUCCCGGGGCUCAACCCCGUUAAGCGUUGAAAACUGGCAAACUUGAGUAGUAGAGGGGACAGUGGAAUUCCUAGUGUAGCGGUGGAAUGCGUAGAGAUUAGGAAGAAUACCGGUGGCGAAGGCGACUGUCUGGAUACAUACUGACGCUGAGGUACGAAAGCGUGGGGAGCAAACAGGA